AGGCAGAGUGGACAAUGAGAGAGAGAGAGAAAGGUCUUCCUUUGCUGUUGGUUCACCCUCCAAUGGCCACGGCGGCCAGCACGCUGCAGCCGGCGCACCGCGCGGACCCGAAGGCAGGAGCCAGAACUCCCUCAGUUACUGCAGAGAAGGAUGGCCAUCACCCCACAAGGGACUCUCACCAAGUAAUCCUGGUCAUCAAUGCCAAACCGAUCACGGAGGUUCCUGAAGACCUGGGGACAAUACUCCUUGAACUUGAAAUGACUGGGCAGAUUUUCCCUGAAAUGUAGGUUUUCAAGGAUUCUCUUCCUAGAAGGUUGACGUGAGAAUGGCAGGAAUUGCUACUUACCUAUGGAAAAGGUGGUUGUUGACCUUGAUCUUGGAGCUGGCCUUGAAGUCAUCUGGCAGCAACAUCACUGGAG